rnacentral:rRNA from 1 species
UACGGAGGGUGCGAGCGUUGUUCGGAAUCACUGGGCGUAAAGCGCGUGUAGGCGGCCUCCUAAGUCUGGUGUGAAAGCCCGGGGCUCACCCCCGGAAGUGCAUUGGAUACUGGGAGGCUGGAGUACCGAAGAGGAGGGUGGAAUUCCUGGUGUAGCGGUGAAAUGCGUAGAUAUCAGGAGGAACACCGGUGGCGAAGGCGGCCCUCUGGUCGGAUACUGACGCUGAGACGCGAAAGCGUGGGGAGCAAACAGG